UUCCGGUUGAUCCUGCCGGACCCCACUGCUAUCGAGGUGGGACUAAGCCAUGCUAGUCGAACGCACAGAACUAUGUCUGUGAGUGGCAUACUGCUCAGUAACACGUAGCUAACCUACCCUUCGGACGUGGACAACCCCGAGAAAUUGGGACUAAUCCGCGAUAGAUGUGAUGUCCUGGAAUGGUAUUACGUCUAAAGGUAUUCCAUACAUGUUUGUUAUACGCCUAAGGAUGGGGCUGCGGCUGAUCAGGCUGUUGGUGAGGUAAUGGCUCACCAAACCAUUGACCAGUACGGGCCAUGAGAGUGGUAGCCCGGAGAUGGACACUGAGACAAGGGUCCAGGCCCUACGGGGCGCAGCAGGCGCGAAACCUCCUCAAUGCACUAACGUGCGAAGGGGUUACCUCGAGUGCUACCUGAUGAAGGUGGCUUUUCCUUGGUCUAAAUAGCCUUGGGAAUAAGAGGGGGGCAAGACUGGUGUCAGCCGCCGCGGUAACACCAGCCCCUCGAGUGGUGGGGAUGAUUAUUUGGCCUAAAGCGUCCGUAGCCGGCCGGAUAAGUUUCCCGUUAAAUCCAACGUCUCAAGCGUUGGACCGCGGGAAAUACUGUCUGGCUAGAGAGUGGGAGAGGUCUGCGGUAUUCUGGGGGUAGGGGCGAAAUCCUUUGAUCCCCGGAGGACCACCAGUGGCGAAGGCUGCUGACUUGAACACGUCUGACGGUCAGGGACGAAAGCUGGGGUAGCGAACCGGAUUAGAUACCCGGGUAGUCCCAGCCGUAAACGAUGCAUGCUAGUGUUGGGUUGUCCACGAGCCACCCCAGUGCCGCAGGGAAGCCGUUAAGCAUGCCGCCUGGAAGUACGAUCGCAAGGUUGAACUUAAAGGAAUUGGCGGGGGAGCACCACAGGCGUGAAGCUGCGUUUAAUUGGAGUCAACGCGGAA
rnacentral:rRNA from 1 species